UCCUGGUUUCCCAGGCAGUCCCACCAGAGUGCCUUCUCACGAAGUAGCAACUGAUGGCAGGGGUUGCGCUCGUUAAAGGACUUAACCCAACAUCUCACGACACGAGCUGACGACAGCCAUGCAGCACCUGUGCAUAUGUCUGAAGCAAGCUCCAGAGACCCAUAUUUCUAUGGUAGUCAUAUACAUGUCAAACCUAGGUAAGGUUCCUCGCGUAUUGUCGAAUUAAACCACAUGUUCCACCGCUUGUGCGGACCCCCGUCAAUUCCUUUGAGUUUUAAUCUUGCGACCGUAUUCCCCAGGCGGAUCACUUAACGCGUUAGCUUCGACACUAAUCCUGCAAGCAGGACCAACGUCUAGUGAUCAUCGUUUACAGCGUGGACUAC
rnacentral:misc_RNA from 1 species